rnacentral:lncRNA from 1 species
AAUAUUUGUUCAAUGAAUUGCAGUACUUGUUCAAUGAAUUGGAAUGAGACAUGUAUUUUGCCCCUGAUAGCAUGAUGUUUUGUGAUAAUCAUAACAAUAUCAUAGAUUGGGAGAAAGAAAUACAAAGGAAUAGAAAAUGAUAGUACUUACCAAAGCACAAGGCAACUGCAUAAUAACGGGGAUCCAUUUGAUGACAGGAUGUGCUACUUGGCUAGUAAAUCGAGAGGAUAAAAGG